GCAAGCUAUAAUCAAAGGAAUAGAAAAGGUGAAACAGGAGCUGUUGGCAUCAGAGAAUGAUGGUCCUGUAUCUGAAGUUUUCCAUAAGACUUUGAAAGAAUUCAUUUCUGUUGCUGAGACAGAGGUGGCAUCUGUGACAAAUCUAUAUUCUGUUGUGGGUAGAAACGCAGAUGCACUUGCACUUUAUUUUGGUGAGGAUCCUGCCCGUUGCCCAUUUGAGCAAGUUACCGCAACUCUAUUAAAUUUUGUGAGGUUGCUCCGCAAAGCACAUGAAGAAAAUUUGAAACAGGCUGAAUUGGAAAAGAAGAAAGCUGAGAAGGAAGCUGAAAUGGAGAAGGCAAAGGGAAUAAAUCUUACAAAAAAGAGUGACACAUAGUUGUGAAUUGAUAUGUUGCUUCCCCUACAUGGCAGUGUGAGCUCCCUGCCACACAGCGGACUUUGUGCCGCAUUGUUUUUUUAGUCAGUGACGGCAAAAAUUGCUGCUGAGGACCUCAGCUCCAACUUCUCCAUUACAGAGUGAAAUAAGCCUCACAAGGUGAAAUAGGCAAAGGUGAAAAGGCUAUUCCUUGAGGCUUGUGGAGCUUAAAGCAUGCAAAAGGCUUAUUCAAUCAGAUGAUGAGUUCAACACAUUAGAUUUUACACGGAUCAUGUUUUUGCAAAAUAGAGUGGUUAAAUAUGUCGGCGUAGUGAAUCGUACAGUGCAGAAUAUAUUUGAGGAGAUGAUAUGGCCCUUGGCAUUUGUUCUUCAAGAAAUUCUGUAUGAUUUUGUCGUUUGGUUUGGCAGCACCAGAGCAGAGCAGAUGCCUUGAGUAAUCUAAAGCACAAUGCAGCUCUGUACCAUGAGACCAUGUACAAAGCU
rnacentral:misc_RNA from 1 species